UACGAAGGGGGCUAGCGUUGUUCGGAUUUACUGGGCGUAAAGCGCACGUAGGCGGAUACUUAAGUCAGGGGUGAAAUCCCGGGGCUCAACCCCGGAACUGCCUUUGAUACUGGGUAUCUCGAGUUCGAGAGAGGUGAGUGGAAUUCCGAGUGUAGAGGUGAAAUUCGUAGAUAUUGGGAAGAACACCAGUGGCGAAGGCGGCUCACUGGCCCGUAACUGACGCUGAGGUGCGAAAGCGUGGGGAGCAAACAGG
rnacentral:rRNA from 1 species